GAUGAACGCUAGCUACAGGCUUAACACAUGCAAGUCGAGGGGAAACGACAUCGAAAGCUUGCUUUUGAUGGGCGUCGACCGGCGCACGGGUGAGUAACGCGUAUCCAACCUGCCCAUCACUUGGGAAUAACCUUGCGAAAGUAAGACUAAUACCCAAUGACAUCCCACGAAGACAUCUGAAUGGGAUUAAAGAUUUAUCGGUGAUGGAUGGGGAUGCGUCUGAUUAGCUUGUUGGCGGGGUAACGGCCCACCAAGGCAACGAUCAGUAGGGGUUCUGAGAGGAAGGUCCCCCACAUUGGAACUGAGACACGGUCCAAACUCCUACGGGAGGCAGCAGUGAGGAAUAUUGGUCAAUGGGCGAGAGCCUGAACCAGCCAAGUAGCGUGCAGGAUGACGGCCCUAUGGGUUGUAAACUGCUUUUAUAAGGGAAUAAAGUGGGUCUCGGGAGACUUUUUGCAUGUACCUUAUGAAUAAGGACCGGCUAAUUCCGUG
rnacentral:rRNA from 1 species